UGUAAGCGUAUACCAAAGUUGUUGCAGUUAAAACGCUCGUAGUCGGAAUUUGGCAGUUCCGGAAGUGUGCACGUCGUGUGCGCACUUUGCGGGGACUGCUUUUGUGGUCUUGCGUAGGAUGAGGCACUUUCAUUAGUGAACGUCCUCACGCAACCACUCUUUACUGUGAGAAAAUCAGAGUGCUCAAAGCAGGCAUUUGCCGUGAAUGUAUUAGCAUGGAAUAAUAGAAUAGGACUCGGUUCUAUUUUGUUGGUUUGUUGGGACUGAGUAAUGAUUAAGAGGGACAGUUGGGGACAUUUGUAUUCCGGCGCUAGAGGUGAAAUUCUUAGAUUGCCGGAAGACAAACUGCUGCGAAAGCGUCUGCCAAGGAUGUUUUCAUUGA
rnacentral:rRNA from 1 species